AUGAUUUGUAGCAAUACAGAUUGAUGGCGACCGGCGCACGGGUGAGUAACGCGUAUGCAACCUGCCUGAUACCGGGGUAUAGCCCAUGGAAACGUGGAUUAACACCCCAUAGUACUUUUAUCCUGCAUGGGAUGUGAGUUAAAUGUUCAAGGUAUCGGAUGGGCAUGCGUCCUAUUAGUUAGUUGGCGGGGUAACAGCCCACCAAGACGAUGAUAGGUAGGGGUUCUGAGAGGAAGGUCCCCACAUUGGAACUGAGACACGGUCCAAACUCC
rnacentral:rRNA from 1 species